rnacentral:lncRNA from 1 species
GUGCAGCAUUCCCUCAGCCAGUGCCGUCCCCUUUGUUCCACUCGAGCCUCUGGCGGGGCCGUGUAUUGACAAACCUAGUGACCAGAAGUGGGGUCUCACUGCUACAUUUUCAGCUUGCGGCUGAGAAUGUAGUGGCUGCACUGCACACUUUCAGCCCUGCUGCUCAGCCCCACCUGCACCCAGCAGCUGUGCUGGGGACAAGGAAGGGGCCUCGGGAGUCAUUAGGGCUGUAGGUCUAGGCCUCACCCGGCUUUCCUGCCCCAGCCGUGGCCACUGCCCUCUGCCAGCCAGGCUGGGGCUUGGUCACAUCCUGAGUCACAUGCUUGCAUGAGUAUCGCAAGGGAGGUGCCUGCAUCAUUGACUGAGUCUCGAUUUGUCUUCCAAGAACCAAACCAGCUCAGACCAGUUGGUCUUCUCAGGAUGAUGACGGUCCGGGGCCUCUUUAAAUAGCAUCUUUUAGGGGCCUCCAGGCCUGUGCCUGUGGAGCCUGUUCCCAGCACA